rnacentral:rRNA from 1 species
UACGAAGGGGGCUAGCGUUGCUCGGAAUGACUGGGCGUAAAGGGCGCGUAGGCGGCUUGCACCGUCAGAUGUGAAAUUCCUGGGCUUAACCUGGGGGCUGCAUUUGAUACGUGUGGGCUUGAGUGCGGAAGAGGGUCGUGGAAUUCCCAGUGUAGAGGUGAAAUUCGUAGAUAUUGGGAAGAACACCGGUGGCGAAGGCGGCGACCUGGUCCGUGACUGACGCUGAGGCGCGAAAGCUAGGGGAGCAAACAGG